rnacentral:snoRNA from 1 species
AGUCUUCUGGUGCUUACCGUAGGCUAUGAUCUUAAACUGACUGUAUAGAAGGAGGAGGCAGAGUAAACCUACCCCCAUGCACCCCAGCCCUGUGCCUGGUCUGUAUUGUGAAUGGGGGGACAUGG